GCGCCCGUAGCUUAACUGGAUAGAGCAACAGACUACGGAUCUGUAGGUUGGAGGUUCGAAUCCUCUCGGGCGCG
rnacentral:tRNA from 1 species